rnacentral:rRNA from 1 species
GAUGAACGCUGGCGGCGUGCCUAAUACAUGCAAGUCGAGCGGACGGACGAGAAGCUUGCUCCUCUGAUGUUAGCGGCGGACGGGUGAGUAACACGUGGAUAACCUACCUAUAUGACUGGGCUAACUUCGGGAAACCGGAGCUAAUACCGGAUAAUAUUUUGAACCGCAUGGUUCAAAAGUGAAAGAAGGUCUUGCUGUCACUUAUAGAUGGAUUCGGGCUGCAUUAGCUAGUUGGUAAGGUAACGGCUUACCAAGGCAACGAUGCAUAGCCGACCUGAGAGGAUGAGCAGCCACACUGGAACUGAGACGCGGUCCAGACUCCUACGGGAGGCAGCAGUGGGGAAUCUUCCACAAUGGGCGAAAGCCUGACGGAGCAACGCCGCGUGAGGGAUGAAGGUCUUCGGAUCGUAAAACUCUGUUGUUAGGGAAGAACAUAUGUGUAAGUAACUGUGCACAUCUUGACGGUACCUAAUCAAAAAGCCACGGCUAACUACGUG